AGGAUGAACGCUAGCGACAGGCUAACACAUGCAAGUCGAGGGGCAGCACGGGAGUAGCAAUACUUGGUGGCGACCGGCGCACGGGUGAGUAACGCGUAUGCAACCUACCUAUCAGAGGGGAAUAACCCGGCGAAAGUCGGACUAAUACCGCAUAAAACAGGGGCACCGCAUGGUGAUAUUUGUUAAAGAAAUUCGCUGAUAGAUGGGCGUGCGUUCCAUUAGGUAGUUGGUGAGGUAACGGCUCACCAAGCCGACGAUGGAUAGGGAACUGAGAGGUUGGUCCCCCACACUGGUACUGAGACACGGACCAGACUCCUACGGGAGGCAGCAGUGAGGAAUAUUGGUCAAUGGGCGGGAGCCUGAACCAGCCAAGUCGCCGUGAAGGAAGAAGGAUCUAUGGUUCGUAAACUUCUUUUGCAGGGGAAUAAAGUGCAGGACGUGUCCUGUUUUGUAUGUACCCUGAGAAUAAGGAUCGGCUAACUCCGUGCCAGCCGCCGC
rnacentral:rRNA from 1 species